GUGGGGAAUAUUGGACAAUGGGGGCUACCCUGAUCCAGCCAUGCCGCGUGAGUGAUGACGGCCUUCGGGUUGUAAAGCUCUUUUACAUGGGAAGAUAAUGACGGUACCAUGAGAAUAAGCACCGGCAAACUUCGUGCCAGCAGCCGCGGUAAUACGAAGGGUGCAAGCGUUGUUCGGAAUUACUGGGUGUAAAGGGCGUGUAGGCGGAUUAGUUAGUUAGUGGUGAAAUCCUUGGGCUCAACCUGAGAACUGCCAUUGAUACAGCUAGUCUGGAGUAUUAGAGAGGAUGACGGAAUAUCCAGUGUAGAGGUGAAAUUCGUAGAUAUUCGGAAGAACACCAGUGGCGAAGGCGACUCACUGGCCCGUUACUGACGCUGAGGCGCGAAAGCGUGGGGAGCAAACAGGAUUAGAUACCCUGGUAGUCC
rnacentral:rRNA from 1 species